rnacentral:rRNA from 1 species
AGUGAACGCUGGCGGUAGGCCUAACACAUGCAAGUCGAACGAGUGGCGGACGGGUGAGGAAUACAUCGGAAUCUACUCGGUCGUGGGGGAUAACGUAGGGAAACUUAAGCUAAUACCGCAUACGAUUGAAUGAGCCGAUGUCGGAUUAGCUUGUUGGUGGGGUAACGGCCCACCAAGGCGACGAUCCGUAGCUGGUCUGAGAGGAUGAUCAGCCACACUGGAACUGAGACACGGUCCAGACUCCUACGGGAGGCAGCAGUGGGGAAUAUUGGACAAUGGGCGCAAGCCUGAUCCAGCCAUGCCGCGUGUGUGAAGAAGGCCUUCGGGUUGUAAAGCCCUUUUGUUGGGAAAGCGGUACCCAAAGAAGAAGCACCGGCUAACUCCGUGCCAGCAGCCGCGGUAAUUC